rnacentral:rRNA from 1 species
UGGGGAAUAUUGCACAAUGGAGGGAACUCUGAUGCAGCGACGCCGCGUGAACGAAGAAGGCUUUCGAGUCGUAAAGUUCUUUUAUAUGGGAAGAUAAUGACGGUACCAUAAGAAGAAGCCCCGGCUAACUACGUGCCAGCAGCCGCGGUAAUACGUAGGGGGCUAGCGUUGUCCGGAAUCACUGGGCGUAACGGGUUCGCAGGCGGAAAUGCAAGUCAGGUGUAAAAGGCAGUAGCUUAACUACUGUAAGCAUUUGAAACUGCAUAUCUUGAGAAGAGUAGAGGUAAGUGGAAUUUUUAGUGUAGCGGUGAAAUGCGUAGAUAUUAAAAAGAAUACCGGUGGCGAAGGCGACUUACUGGGCUCAUUCUGACGCUGAGGAACGAAAGCGUGGGUAGCAAACAGG